GGGGAUGUAGCUCAGUGGUAGAGCACUUGCUAAGCAUGUGAUUGGGUUCAAUCCCCAGUACUGCA
rnacentral:tRNA from 1 species